UGUUAGGAAAAAACAUGAAGAAAGGAAGCUGCCACAGGUGCUCACUGUAAUGCAGGCUUGCUCUGCUGUCCUGCACACUCUGUGGGAAUACAGCUGAUAUUCUCUGAAGCAAAGGGAACACUCCUACUGACAAGUUGCCUUUGCUUCCUGUAGGUGCAAAAAGCUCAAGAGAUACAAGAUGGAAGAUGAGCUUGCAUCCCCUGGUGGGACUGUACUUCUGGGUCAGGACAGAAGUGUCUGAGGAUAUUGCUGCAAUGAUGCCUGCAAUGGUCCAAGGCUUCCUUGGAGAGCAAAUAGCAUCCUCCAAAAUCUGGGGUGCUGAAUCUGCCACACACCCCUCACAAGCCUAAAUGCAAAGGGUACUCUUUUGUUCAUCUGCUAAGAAAUAAAGAUAGUCAUUGCCCUGAAGGCUUACAGUCUGAAAGACAGAUACACACAAUACACAACUCCCUAUGGAUACUCAGAAGAAAGAUUUUUUUUUAUUAAGGAGCUAUUCUGAUUUAAUUUGGUUCUUUAAUGUGAUAUUGG